AGAACUUAGCAGAGAUGCUUUGGUGCCUUCGGGAACUCUGAGACAGGUGCUGCAUGGCUGUCGUCAGCUCGUGUUGUGAAAUGUUGGGUUAAGUCCCGCAACGAGCGCAACCCUUAUCCUUUGUUGCCAGCGGUCCGGCCGGGAACUCAAAGGAGACUGCCAGUGAUAAACUGGAGGAAGGUGGGGAUGACGUCAAGUCAUCAUGGCCCUUACGAGUAGGGCUACACACGUGCUACAAUGGCGCAUACAAAGAGAAGCGACCUCGCGAGAGCAAGCGGACCUCAUAAAGUGCGUCGUAGUCCGGAUUGGAGUCUGCAACUCGACUCCAUGAAGUCGGAAUCGCUAGUAAUCGUGGAUCAGAAUGCCACGGUGAAUACGUUCCCGGGCCUUGUACACACCGCCCGUCACGCCAUGGGAGUGGGUUGCAAAAGAAGUAGGUAGCUUAACCUUCGGGAGGGCGCUUACCACUUUGUGAUUCAUGACUGGGGUGAAGUCGUAACAAGGUAGGCGUAGUGCU
rnacentral:rRNA from 1 species